CCUACGUGUGGCUGCAGUGGGGAAUAUUGCACAAUGGGGGAAACCCUGAUGCAGCGACGCCGCGUGAGUGAAGAAGUAUUACGGUAUGUAAAGCCCUAUCAGAAGGGAAGAAAAUGACGGUACCUGAUUAAGAAGCACCGGCUAAAUACGUGCCAGCAGCCGCGGUAAGACGUAGGGGGCAAGCGUUAUCCGGAUUUACUGGGUGGAAAGGGAGCGUAGACGGCAGCACAAGUCUGGAGUGAAAUGCCGGGGCUUAAACCCGGAACUGCUUUGGAAACUGUGCAGCUAGAGUGCAGGAGAGGUAAGUGGAAUUCCUAGUGUAGCGGUGAAAUGCGUAGAUAUUAGGAGGAACACCAGUGGCGAAGGCGGCUUACUGGACUGUCACUGACGUUGAGGCUCGAAAGCGUGGGGAGCAAACAGGAUUAGAUACCCUUGUAGUC
rnacentral:rRNA from 1 species